UACAGAGGAUGCAAGCGUUAUCCGGAAUGAUUGGGCGUAAAGCGUCUGUAGGCGGCUUUUCAAGUCCGCCGUCAAAUCCCAGGGCUCAACCCUGGACAGGCGGUGGAAACUACCAAGCUGGAGGACGGUAGGGGCAGAGGGAAUUUCCGGUGGAGCGGUGAAAUGCAUUGAGAUCGGAAAGAACACCAACGGCGAAAGCACUCUGCUGGGCCGACACUGACACUGAGAUACGAAAGCUAGGGGAGCAAACGGG
rnacentral:rRNA from 1 species